ensembl:lncRNA
GGUAGUGACAUAGCAGGCAAACUCAUUUAAGCAAGGGCAAGAAGGAAGUCCUUUCCCUUUUCUCUUCUUCCUGCUCUCUGCUCUGGAGUUGCCAUGUGAUCCGCCCACAAGAGAGGGCACCAGCAAAAAGGCGUCCUCGAUAAGAUAAGUCUUAUAAAAUACAUAGAUUUAUGAUAAUUAAGACUAAGUUAGCAAGUAAGAAAUCCUAGUCAUUGACCAAGAAGCAUUUGUACCUAAUAUAAGUCUCUGUGUGUUACUAGGGGCCCUAACACAGCGGGUGGAACUUGGACGGUCUGGCAGAAAGCGCCCCUGUGAUAUCAGGCCUGGGGCAGCUUGGCGGAUAGAGUUAUUGUAACACUUCUUCACUGUUACUCAAGUUUUUCUCUGCUGAGGAACAGGGAGGGAUGGACUGUGACUGGGAGAACAAGCCCCAUUGCUCCACAGUAAAGGGACACAGUUAUGGCUAUUGAGUACAUGAAUUACUAGUGCAUAAAUAAAUCGUGUCAGCAGUAAAAAGCAAGCAAGCAAGCAAGCAAACAGACAAAAAAACAAACUUAUGUUCUACAUAGGUUUAGGUGAACCCAAACACCAGGAAUCUAUUCCGUUAAAACCAAGCCAGUUAUCCAAAACUGAAGAUGAAAACAUGUUGGUAAUCUCUUUUUAUAACUCGGAACCCAUUUUUCCUCCACCUCAUCUUCGGCUGCUUUUGGGUGGGUGGGGGGAGGAGAAGUGAGACAUAGUUCUGAGAGCUUUCUAUCUCAAAGGGGGCUCUGGAGGCCACAUGAUUGUAUGCCUGUGUUGGCAGGAAUUCAGAGAGAGGCUCAACAUCAUUGUUUUGAUUCAUCCAAGGAAGCCACAAUAUCCUUCCCUUUCCAAAGAGGAGAAAGUAUUGAUGUGGUCAAAGGCAGCUCAUCUGACAGAAGCAAUGGGGGUAGCAUGAGAUGUGGAUGACAUCUGGGCAGCAGGGUCUUCUGUAGCAUUGAUAGUUACCUGGAGAGAAACGGACAAUCAAGUUUCCUCUUUCUGUCUCUCCUUUGUUGUUCCUCCCACCUCUAGCUACCCCUGACUAGCAUCUCUGGUUUCCCUGGGUUGUUGAGCAGGAAUGUACGGGAUACUCACCUCUGAUUUUCAUCGUGAUUCUGAUAGUGGGAGGGAAGCAAUAAGAUGGAGCUUAGGUGAGACUUUUGAUGGGGAAGGAAAAGAAAGGGAAUCUAAAACACAGGAUCAUUUGGGUAGAUCCAAAUGGGUGGUGUGAUGGGUGCUUCAGUACUCAGUGCAGAGGGGAACCUCUUGUUUGACCUCUGCUCCACUUGUAGAUUGUCCUCUUGCCCUAUGUGUGGGCUAAUACAAUCUGAAUCUGUAAAGUAGCAUGGGUAAGCCCCCCUGUGGUGAGACUAAAGUCUGUAAGCCUGCCUAGAGGCCAUUUCCUAGCACAACAUCUCCCCCUGUCAGACGCAGCCAGGAACUACAUUCCUUCCAAACAGGAAGCCACAGGCAAAACUGACAGCUGGACACAGGGAGGCUUUCUUCACUUGGCAUUCUCUUUGUGGGAUGACUCAACAAAUAUGCAGUAACUAAGGAAGUAUGUAAAAGGCCCUGACAUUUAAAUUUAAAUAGUUUAAGAGCAUAGUCUGCAUGGUCUUAAUGUUAUUGAUUUUACAAAAAAAAAAAAUCAUGGGAGCUAGCUGCCUUGCUGAAGGCAAUUUUUUUCUUUAUCAUCCCACUUUCACUAACAGAACACAGUAGAGGCCUUGGCACACAUUCAUUUCAGAUGGGAAGAGAUCAAACCCAUGGAUAAUCAGGAGAUAUGAAUGCCAGAGGCAUACCAGGAUCCUUAUCCAUAAGUGGUAGAGGGAAACUAUCAAAUCUUCCAUUACCCAGCAGGAAGAAGGACGCAUGACACCUGGUAGAUUUUGGGUCAGUGAGGGAGAAGGAAUGUGAGUAUCAUUCAAGUGAUAUAUUUGAGUUUUUCCCCUUACUCUUUUGACCAUAUUUGGUAGCUCAUUGACAGUUGCAUUCACUUCUGCCUCAGAAAAGCAUGACACACAGGGUCUCAGACAGCCAAGAAAGGGAGACUUUGGUCAUGACUCCAUGGCCAAUGCCAGCCUUGGGAGACGUGCUAGAUAAAGGGUGAGGGAAAUGGAGUGGGUAGCAGUUAAGAGAUGCAACUGAAAUAAGAACCCAUGAUCAUGUCACUGGAUAUAGAAAAGCAUUUGGCAAGACUAAACACUAGUUCACAAGCACUCUCGGCAAAGUAGAAAUAGAAGUUAAUUUUUUAGGUUGAUAAAGAGCUUAAAAAACUCUACAUCUAUUGUGAUAAUUAAUGGUAGGGAACCUAAAUGCCUUCCUGUUGAGAUCAAAACAAGGCAGUAAUGUUUACUUCCACCACUCCAAUUUAAUGUCAUACUAGAAGUCCUAGCUGGUGUAAUACAAGAGAAAGAAACAAAUAACACAUGGAUUAAAAAGGAUCUUUUGCAGAAUUCAUGGUUGUUUAUGUAGCUUUUUGAAAAAGUCCUAAAUAGUAAAUAACAGUCACAAAAAUAUCCCUUGGACUAACGAUUAAUGAUUUAGUUCAUUCUUGCUGGUGUACUUUUAAACUGGUCUUUGGUUUUAAUGUGUAUGGGAUUGGAGUUGCAUUUGUGAGCAGCAGCCUUGUGGAUUCUGAGAAUUGAACCUGGGUCCUCUAAAGAGCAGACAUCUCUCCUGUCCUGGUAUGCAUUAUGUUCAAAUAGUAGAAACCUUGUUACUUACAGCUGUGAAGGCUAAGAAAUCCAAGGUCUAAGGACUGAUUUUUGUCUCUGGUGAAUCCUCAAUGCUUCCAAGAUGAUUCCUUUGAACAAAAGGGCCAGACCAUUUGGGGAGCACUAAAGUCACUCAUGACAGCUCAGCCUAUUACAUUGAGUCUUAGGUACCAACAUAUUAGUUCUGGAGAGAUACAGACAUUCAGCACACAGUGGAAAUUAGAGUAAUUAUAGAGUUAACAGGUAACAAAACAUUUAUUUCUUACUUACCAGCAAUGAAUAAUGGGAAUUUGAUUUUAAAACAAUGUUGUUUAUUCUAAAUUAGUCAUAUUUACAAUACCCCAAUAUGGCUUAUCAAUACAGUUUGUGAAUCAUGAGUAUAUACUAUGGAUAGGUGGGCGAACACAUAAAUCAAUGGAAUGGGAUAGAGUAACCGGUAAAAGGUUCACAGGAAUAUGUCCAGUUGACUUGAUAAAGAAAUUUGACUAAAGAAAUUCGGAGGAAACUUUUCAGUAAAUCACACUGGAGCAUAAGUCCUCAAAGCCACGACAGAAGAAGAAGGGAGGGAGGGGGAUCUUUUUCAUUUAAUUAAUUUAAAAUGUAUCAUUGAUCUACAUAAAAAUUGUAAAAUCAUAAACCUUGUGAGAGAAAAAGGGAAAGGCAUCAAGUCUAAGAGACAGCCAAACAAUUCUUAUGGAAAAUGGAAGGCAGAAAGUUGCAAAAAAACAAAAACAAAAACAACCCCCCCAACAAACCAAACUUAUGAAGGAUGUUGUGAAGUUACAGCUUGACAGAAGAUAUUUUCAAGCCAUUUAUCCAAAGAUUUUUAUUGGGAAUAUUUUUAAAGUUCUCAGACUUCAGUUUUAAAAGUAGCCAAACAUAUGAGCAAACAUUUUGCAAAGAAGAUAUGAAGAUGGAACUCAUCACCUAGGAAAAUGUUAAACAUCACUAUCUUCAACACAUGAUAUGUGCAUAUGUGCGCAUGAAAAGCACAAGAAAUUAUCAUCACACCACUAUUAGGAACACUAAAAUAAAGUAUACUGGCAACAGUGUUCACAAGAUGUCAGUGGCAAUGGAGCUUGCCACUCAAGCCAGAGUCUGCAUGAUGGAAAAAGAGAACCGACUUUACGAAGUUGUUCUCCCAUCUCCACACACCCCAUGGUGUGUGCCUCCUCAUAGUGAUAAUAAUAUGACAAUAUAUAAAAUGUCAAGUUUUACUCACGAGAAGGUAGAGACUAGAUGUUGAGUACAUUGCUAAGUGAAAGGGAAAAAUGGCACAACCACACUGGAAAACUGACCCAAUCAGUAGCUGGGGAGGUCCCAGGGUAGAAGCUGCCAUGGCUAUUUCCUAAACAAUCUUGUGGUCAAAAUUCCUUCUAAGUAUUCAUGUUUAUGCCCCUAGACCUAGGUAGAAGCUUUUGUUUGUUUAAGUGGGUAUUAAUCAAUGUAGAGACACAUGCUUGGUCAACGUGUUGAGAAUAAAUGGAGUUCUCAGUCCUAAAUGGGACAUCUUUAUCGACACCCCUAUCAAGUUCUGGAGAGUAACGUAGAGAUAUGAGAUUACAUGUAAUAUUUUGGAGAUUCUGUGGGACAGUUCCUAAUGAAGUAACUCCAUACUGGGUACUAAGCUUUUUGUUUGAUAGAUAAUAGUGUUCGGGGGGGGGUAGCUCCCUUUAAACCACCUUUAUAAACGUACACAUAUUAUACAAAAUCCGGGUGGAUACAGAAAAUGGGGUCUAUUUCUUUGUUUCAUAUUUUUUUCAAGCAGCUAGUACAACUCAGACUCUUUAGAUUCUACAUAGAAUAAAAUGUAUACCAUAAAAGCAUGCAUCCUUUGGCAUUGGCUCUCAAUGGUUCCAAGUGUGUGGCUUUUGACUUGCACGUGAGGACUCUGACCAGCAGGAGGCGUAGAAGCUCUAGGGCGCUGGUGCAAGGGACGAGGGGGCGUGGCUUCUGCAUCCUUGAUGGACAGCUAAGGAAGGAUUGCAUGCGAGGAUGAGGCAAUAGCGGGCGGAAUGAGGAGUGCUAAAGGCUGUGCGUGCGUGUGCGCGAGUGUGGGUGUUCCAGUGCGUGAGCGAGACAAGAGCUUCGAAGCAGGCGCCGCUGACUAGACCGGCUCACAACAGACAGACGCUGCAAAAGUGUGACGCUGCCGGGGAGGGGCGACUCCUUCUGGAAGCCACUGAGCAGAGCCGCAGGCAGGGGGAGCUGUGUCGCCGCGGUCGCCGCGCUCAGUACGGAGAGAGAGGGCGGAGGGCGUGACCGUGCGGUGCGAUCCACGCGGACGCCCGCGGAGCCCGAGGCGCAACUGGUGCGAGGCGGCUGCAGCGUCGCUCGGGCGGGCCGCGCGCCCCCGGGUGGCUUUGCAAGGCGGGACGGCGAGUGCGCGGGGCCGGGCCUUUGCAUGAAGCGGCUGGACCCUUCGGAGCAGCAGCGGCAGCAGCGGCGGAGCCCGGCGGCGCGCGAUCGGAGGCGGGCGGCCCCGGGGUCCGCGUCCCGGUGCCUGCGCGGCUGCGGACUCCCCCAUGGGC